rnacentral:rRNA from 1 species
GACGUAGGAUGCAAGCGUUGUCCGGAAUCAUUGGGCGUAAAGCGUUCGUAGGCGGACUAAUAAGUCUGAUGUUAAAGCCCGGGGCUCAACUCCGGUUCGGCAUUGGAUACUGUUAAUCUUGAGUAUGGUAGAGGCAAGGGGAAUUCCUAGUGUAGCGGUGAAAUGCGUAGAUAUUAGGAGGAACACCGGUGGCGAAAGCGCCUUGCUGGGCCAAAACUGACGCUGAGGAACGAAAGCCAGGGUAGCAAAUGGG